AUUCAUGCUUCCUCACCCACAGUUCUCAGGUUCUGUGAGACCAGAGCCUCAGUCUCCCGUGAGCAGAGGGUGUGUGUGUGGCUGCCACUAUUCUGCAGACACGCUGGCUCCACCCCAGAGAGUUGCAGGGCCAGGAAAUCUGCAUUUAAACAGACCCUGGCUCUCACACUUCGGAAACUGCCCGAAGCACCUCUCAAAUAUGGGACAGGUGCUUAGGCCGAAAAUCAGGAAUCUCUUGAAUGAAUGCAUGAAGGUGGAGCCCUUUCCCUUAAUGCGCAGGUGAAAAGGGCACCUCGGUGGAUUCUACUAAAUUUAAUAGAAGGUAAGUAGGACCUGGGUCACACCGGCUUGUGGAAAGUGGAGGUCAGAAUCUGAGAGGCUGCGUUUGGCACUAGGUGGGAAGGAGCUGGCUAGGGGGCAGAGGAAAGAGGGCAGGUGGCUUCGGAUCCGGGGUCUCUCUUUCGUUCAACUCCGUGGGUGUUAAGGGAGCCCCAUGGCGGCCUGGGCAAGCGCUGAGAGCACCUGGAAAGAGAACACCCCGCUGGACCCUCCUCUCCCCUCACUUCCAGUUGCACAGGCGAGGCCCAGCCACCUGGACGCAGGCCCAGAAGCCCAGGAGGCGGGCUAGGGGAAGGAGGGGUUUCCUGGGUCACCAGCCCCUCCCCACCGGGUCCCUGGUUCGCAGGAGGCCUCGAGGCUCGGUCCCCUGCCCGCCCCCUCUACUCUGUUUCCCCACUGCCCACAGCCUGGCCUGGUAAACAGCCCUUUCCCUGGGAAUUUCUCCCCAGCAUCUCCGGCAGGUGUGGAUGGGGGUUUGUGGCCACCCAGCCUCCCCUUCUCCAGGCCAAGACAUCCCUGGUCCUGUUUGUCCUCCCAACAUGGCUUCCAGACCCUUCUCCGUGGGGGACCCCAGCCUGCAUUUCCGGUUCAGAUAGGGUCUGACCAGGAUGGAGGUUGGAACUGUGGUCCCCUCACCAUGGACACAUGGCUCCUGGGAGACCCCUGGCUCCUUUCGGGUCCCCCAUUUCCUUCCAGCUGGGGUCAGGGCCAGCCAGCUGCAGGAUACCCUCUGCUGUGCCCCUUCUGGGCCCCAGGAGGCCCUUCCUUCCUCUUGGGAUGAGGGCGCCGUCCCUACAUGCUUGUCUUGUGGGUGCCUGGUGAUGCUGAACCACCUGGGCCUCCCUCAUGGCGAGGCCCUUCCUUCCUCGCAGGGACCCAUUCGGGGUGGCCCUUAGGAAGGGAGCUGUUUUGGAAGACCCCUUGACUGCCCUUCUCCUCUGUCUCAUCCUCAUUCCAGGACCUUGCUCAGUGGCUGAGAUUGUAUACUCGUCAUUUUGAUUUAGAAAAAGACAUGAUCAGGUUCUGGGAUCUAUUCUCCCUAAGGAUGUCUGGCCAGGGUAAUAGCCCUGCACUGAGCAGAAGGCAUGGAGACCACAGGGUGGGCCACAGAGCAGGAAAGAUCGAGGGAAGGGGCAAAGAAUGGCAGAGGUGAAGGAAUCCAGAGUACUCCAGGUGCUGCACACACACCAGACCUCACAGCCCCCUGUGGAGCUCAGAUUAUUCCCUUAUUUUUCUUUUUUUUUUUUUUUUUGAGAUGGAGUUUCCCUCUUGUUGCCCAGGCUGGAGUGCAAAAGUGCAAUCUCCGCUCACCACAACCUCUGCCUCCCAGGUUCAAGCUAUUCUCCUGCCUCAGCCUCCCGAGUAGCUGGGAUUACAGGCAUGUGCCACCACGCCCAGCUAAUUUCGUAUUUUUAGUAGAGACAGGGUUUCUCCAUGUUAGUCAGGCAGGUUAUCCCCAUUUUAUAGGGAAAGAACUUGAGUCUGCAAGAAGCAAGUCACCCAGGAUUCUCAGGGCGAGGAGGAGGCUGAACCAGGAUUUGGACCCAGAUAUCUCUGGCUCUCAAGCCUCCUCUUUUCUAUAAACCACCUGUUUACAGCACAGAGGGAGCUGGUCAUUGGGGCCGAGCUGGGUUUAUGGUAUCUGAAGCUUACACAAUUUCAAGAGGACUCUCAUUUAAAAAAAAAAACAAACACAAUUACAAAACCAAAAUUAGGCAUAACAGUGAAUUUUAUUUAUUUAUUUAUUUUAUUUUUAAUUUUUUUUUUUGAGGCGGAGUCUCGCUCUGUCACCCGGGCUGGAAUGCAGUGGCGCCAUCUCGGCUCACUGCAAGCUCCGCCUCCUGGGUUCAGGCCAUUCUCCUGCCUCAGCCUCCCGAGUAACUGGGAUUACAGGUGCCCACACCAUGCCCGGCUAACUUUUGUAUUUUUAGUAGAGACAGGGUUUCACCACAUUGGCCAGACUGGUCUCGAACUCCUGACCUCAGGUGAUCUGCCUGCCUCGGCUUCCCAAAGGGCUGGUAUCACAGGCUUGAGCCACCACACCUGGCUUCCCUAUGUUUUUCUAUAUCCUGAUCGCUUCCUUGUACAACAAGGAUUUUGCAAUGCCAUAUUCUAUAGAGAAAACAAACUUCAAUCAAAUUUCUUUGAUAUGGUAGCAGGAAGAGUUCAGGGCAUGGCUGUGUCAAGUUUUCUCAUGUGGGACCUGACCUUACAUGCUCCUUGGAUGGGCCACACUGGUGACCACGCGAGGCUUUGAUGCUCUCAUCACAGGGACCUGUUCUGAGUUUUAUGUUGUCUUUGUUGGUUUCAACAUUUUAUGCCAAAUCAGCAAGAAAUUUAAAUCUUUUUUCAUCAUGAUCAUUGUAUUCAUUCUCCUUCAUUCAUUGGUGAGCCUGUUCCUGGAAGCCAUCUGUACCCUCGGACAGCCAGCAACGACUGAGCUACACAUGGAUAGAACCAUGAACCACAAGAAAUACCCCUGAAUUCUGAACUAUUUCCAUAUCAACUUCUCCCAAAAUACCCACAGCCAGUCCAACACCAUCCAACUGGAUGGGAGCAGGGAAGGCGGGGAAUCAGAGUGGAAAGAGACUUAGCUGAGUUAUUUUUAUUAUUUUUAAAAGCCUUAUUCAUAGACAUAUGUGUAUAUUUAGAGACAGAGUCUAUCACUACGUUGCCCAGGUUUGAUUCUUUUUUUAGAGACAGGUCUGGAGUACAGUGGUGCAAUCUUUGCUCAUCACAGCCUUGAACUCCAGGGCUCAAGCCAUCCUCCCACCUCAGCCUCCUGAGUAGCUGGGACUACAAGCAUGUGCUGUGCCACCAAGCUGGCUUGGUGUGACUAACUGAUGUCUCACCUUUGCAAACUUUACAGAAACAUAUGACAUAGGAACACAUUGCAAUUACAUAUUGCAAUUCAGCAGAAAAAAAAAAAAGAAAGACUUUCUUUUUACUGAAUGGCACUGACUUACCAGGUACAUACAAGCAAGUGGAGUCUGGGGACCACUUUUUGGCUGUUCUAGAGAAAGUGCCCCAAAGAGGAUUCAGCAGCCAGACUCCUGUUAGUUUUCUCAUCUCACUCAGAAGGCUCAGCCUCUGAAACAACCAUUCCAGGACUUGGAGGCAGGGGAUCUGGGUUAAAGGCCCAGCUCUGCCGUUUCCUAACUGUGGGGCCUUGGCAAGUGCAGGUCCUGUGAGCUUCACCAGCCUCAUUAGCAAGAAUAGUUCAUGUUCCCCUGCCACGGAAGUGCCCUGUGAACUAGAAGAGAGCAUGGGCAAGUAUGGGGUUAGUCUCGCUAACAGAUCAGCCAGCUUCUGUCUGGGCAAUUCUGUCAUUUAGGGUUUUGCUGGGGUGGCCCCGGGAGUCGUUUGGGAGUUCACCUAUCUCCCCAGGCAUGGAGAAGGGGUGGUGUUUCUGAAUCAGGAUUCUGAGCUGAACUGCAAACCUGACUGUGCUCCAAGUUUCUUGGACCAGCAAGCCCAGCUCCCAGAGUCCCGCUGCCCUGGCCUGAACCCGCCGCUCCACACCCCGGGCUCUCGGCAGCCGGGCGGCUCGUGGGAGGAGGCGCCAUGAGCCUUCUUGCAUUUCCUGCUUCAGACUUGAUGGAUUACAGAGGACUCCUGCUCCAGCUGUGGGGAACUCCAGCCCGCACUUUGCCUCCAGCCCGAUGGUGCAAGAUCCAGCUUCUCUUCAGCCUGGCAUCAAACGUCUUUUUGAUCAGCUUUUCAUCCAUUUUCUGAAAAUGUAGUGAUUGAGAGAUGUUCUGAAUCUUGCAGAAUUCUGUGUCGCACCCUGGCCACACAUCAAUGCAGGCCUGAACCUGACCCUGGGUGGACUCCCUGCUCUCUGCCAGCCCCUUUCUCACCCCUGGGUCCCCACGGCCCCUGGCUCUCUCCCCUCUGCUAGAAUCUCGCUGAGGGAUUGGUGGGGAGGGGGUGGUCACGCACUGGGUGGAGAUCUGGUGCCCCCUGGAGGCCGGACAGGAAGGGCCAGGGCGGACAAGGUCUUUGAGAACUCGGUGGCAUCCCGCUCCUGAUGGCCUGGGUCCCACCGCCCCUCCCCCAGCCUUCCUGACAGCAGAGGAGAUUGAUGGGGCGCUGCUCGAAUGUUCUUCAUCAGCGUCUUCAGUAAUAAGCUUCUCCAUUGGGUAACCGAUCCUAGUUUAGCAAAACCGUUUGUCAACCAUUUCCUCCCUUGAGCUUGAUAAGAACCCCGUGGGAGAGGAGAGAGGGGGGCCCCCCAGGAUCUGAAAAGCUGUGCCUCAGCCAAGUUCAUGAGUCACUGGCGAGGAGGCCUGUAGGUCAGCAAAGCCUAGGAGGUCAAGAGUGCCCACAUGGGGACCUACGGGCCUCAGGGCCGCAGGUUGCUGGGUUGGACCCUGGCUUGGAGCUCAGGAUAGAAACCCGGAAACCCCACAGGCAAAGAAGGAUGCAGAACAGAACAGGGCAGAACCAAGGACCCAGUGAGGGUGGCUGGCGUCAGAGCAAAUAUCAGAGUUCACAAGGUGAAAUAAUCCAAAAAUCUAUACAGAAAAAGCUAAUCAUUUUCUCCAAUCUCUCCCCCAAAGGUGUCUACUCCUGCAGGCUUACCUGUAACCUUUGUCACUCACUCUUCUGAUUCUGCAAACAUAUAAACCACGGAGCCACAGCCAAGAGAAUCUGGACUUGUUCGUUUUUCCUGAAAUAGGAUAUCUUAAAUAAUCCGUGGCUCAGCACUGCGCCCUUUUUUUUCUUUUCUUUUCUUUUUUUUUUUUUUUUUGAGACGGAGUCUCGCUCUGUUGCCCAGGCUGGAGUGCAAUGUCAUGAUCUUGGCUCACUGCAACCUCUGCCUCCUGGGUUCAAGCAACUCUCCUGCCUCAGCCUCCUGAGGAGCUGGGACUGCAGGUGCAAGACACCACGCCUGGCUAAUUUUUGUUAUUUUUAGUAGAGACAGUGUUUCACUAUGUUGGCCAGGCUGGUCUCGAACUCCUGACCUCAAAUGAUCUGCCUGCCUCGGCCUCCCAAAGUGCUGGGAUUACAGGCACAAGCCACAGCACCCAGCCUCACUGUGCCCUUUUCACUGGCAGGCAUUUUAUUGUCCCUACAGACCCAAGACGGGGUGGGGGAGACGUGCUUUGUGCUCACCUGGCUGGUUCAUGGGCAGGUGGCCUGGAGGACCCAGCCCUGGCAGCUGUGGGGUAGCUCCAGCCUGGGCCGGACAGGUAAGCGGAAUCAAGAGAUGGGGCCAGUUGCGGCUACAGGGCCAGGAGGGGCUGCAGCUCCUGGUCAGGGUCUUCAGAAAAGCAGGGUUCUGCUGGCUGGCCUGCAGUGGAAAGAAGACAGAGGGACAGGGAACUGGGGGUAGGGACAACCCUGCUCAACUAAGUGACCUUGAGAGGACAGGAGUCCCCACAGGAAAAUCAGGAGACUGUUCCUCUGGCUGGGGUGGGCUGUGGGGAGGAUGCUGGGCCAGCAGAGCCUGACAGAGCCACCCCAGUCAUAAAAGGAUAUGUUUUUGUCAAGACUUUUCUAAACCCAUAAUCACCUCCCUCCUAUGUCUUGGGUCAGCUUCUUUCAUCGCAGGCACCACUGCGGACAUUGCUGGGAGGAAGAGGAGGGAGAAGCGACGGGCUUCAUUAGGAACGGAAAUGCCAAGAUUAGUGAAAGAAUGAAAAGAGUCAAAACAGCCUAGAAAAGGCUUCAAUGAUCCUCAAACUGGAUGAUCGAAUCCCGAAUAAUUGGGAAUCAACAGUAAAGGCCAAAGCUUUCGAUGGAUUGGACGAGGCGCGUCCACCCUGGGGAGGGCCAUCAUUUUAUUCAGUCUACUGAUGCAAAUGCUUAUCUCUUCUGGAAACACCUUCACAGACAGACCCAGAAUAUAGUUGAACCAAAUACUGGGCACCUCAUGGCUCCAACAGGUUGACACAAAAAAUGAACCAUUGCAGAAAACGAAGAACAGUCACCAACUCCCACCCAUGCAGCUGGCUCAUUUGCUGGGCUGCCCUCCCCAGCAGGUGGCACAGGAAUCCCUGCCUUGGCAGGGAGGAGGCCUGGGGUGUGUGCAGGUACCCAUGGGAAGUUUCUUUGCCAUGGGGAAAGCCAGAGUCACCCCUUGCUUGAACACAAGAGUUGGAGGUUUCAGUGAGCUGAGAUUACGCUAUUGCACUCCAGCCUGGGCGGCAGAGUGAGACUCUGUCUCUAGAUAAAUAAAUUAAAUAAAUAAAUAAAUAUAAUUUAAUAUAAAUAACUAGAAAUUUUUCAAUACUUGCAUCUCUGUAGGUUACCUCUGGAAGUGCAGGGCUUUGUCUUUUUGGAUUAACUCAGAAAUUAGACCUUCAGAAAACAACAUCAGCUCUGAUUCUCUGCACCCUUGAUGCUGCCGGUGGCGACUGCGGCUUCCUGAUGGAAAUGUAGACCUGAACAUAAGUCGCAGAAAAAUGCAGACUUGAGUUGGAGCUAAGCUGACUCAGGUAUUUUGAGAUCUAUAAUCUGAGUGGGGAGCAGAGAGAUUCCAAGAUAUUUGCAUUCAGUGGCUUUUGCACACAGCAGAACCUGUGCUGAGGGCAUUUCUAGGGUCAUUACUCAUAAUCUGCAGUGUCUCUUUCCAGGGUUCCAGGCGUCUUACCCCAGAGGUGAUUUCCAGAUUUCGAGAAAAACCCAGGAUUUAGGGCUGGCACGGUGGCUCACGCCUGUAAUCCCAGCAUUUUGGGAGGCCGAGGCAGGUGGAUCACUUGAGGUCAGGAGUUUGAGACCAGCCUGGCCAACAUGAUGAAACCCUGUCUCUACUAAAAAUACAAAAAAAUUAGCCGGGUGUGGUGGCAUGCACCUGUAAUCCCAGCUACUCAGGAGGCUGAGGCAGGAGAAUCACUUGAACCUGGGAGGCAGAGGUUGCAGUGAGCCUAGAUCGUGCCAUUGCACUCCAGCCUGGGCAACAAGAGCAAAACUCCAUCUCAAAAAAACAAACAAACAAACAAACAAAACGCAAGAUUUAGAUCCCCUCACUGUAGCGCCCUCAUGGCCUGGUAACUUUAGCAAAGCCUCCCCCUCCUCCCCCUCCUCCUCCUCCUCCUCCUCCUCCCUCCUCCCUCUUCUAGGUACAGAGGAUGAGCAGUGGCUCCCCACACCAUCCCCUGAAGCAGAGGCCCCUCUUCCCUUCAUUCCCCAUUCUGUACAGAUGCUAUGGGAGCUUCAGGCUCCACACUCAGGUCCCCAGUCCCUGAAACAUAAAGCUGAAUAAGACAGAGUCCCUGGGCUGAAGGGGCCACUGUUGGCCAUGGAAGCAGAGUAAACAGAGUGGGGCCGACGUAAAGGUGAGCUGGGGUGCACUGGAGGCACAAAACGGGCAAGGAUGGAGACGUGGGUGACGAGGUAGGGCAGACAGGCAGAGCUCAGACUGGGUCCUAGGCAGGGAGAAGUCACCAUUGUAGAGCAAGGACGAUGUGGUCAGAUCUGGGCUUUAGAAAUCUAGGUGUCUAGCCUAGGCAAUAUAAUGAGACCUCGUCUCCACAAAAAACUUAAAAAAUUAGCCGAGUGUGAUGCCACAUGUCUGUAGCCGCAGCUACUCAGAAAGCUGAGGAUCCCAAGUGGAAGGAUAACUCUAGCUCGGGAGGUCGAGGCUGCAGUGAGCCAUGAUCGUGCCAUUGCACUCCAGCCUGGGCAACAGAGCGAGACCCUGUCUCAAGAAAAAAAAAAAAAAAGUAAAAGAAAAAGAAAGAAGAAAUACAGCUCUGGAGCUGCCUAGGACAGGGUUGGGGACUCUCCUGACUAGCUGCCAGCGAAUGUUUGCUUUCUGUGGCCAGGCCCUGCCUGGCCAGGGUGCACAGGGCUGAGCGAGGCAGAUGGAGCCCCUGCUCUCAGACUGCUUUUCCGAAUGCCAUCUUGACGCUGCUCAAGUUUGGAUUUUGGUUUUCAUGGAAGUCAACUAUGGUUCUGACAUGGCCACCUCUGUCUCAACUGAUGCACGGCCUAGGGAAUCCGGUGAUGCUUCAGCAGGUGGCAGGGCUCAGCUGCACCCGCCCGGGCCCCAGCGCCGCCUGCCACUCCUCCUCCUCCUCCCAGGCUUCGGCUGAGAGCAGGGCCUGGAGCCAGCCUGCUGGGUGGACUCCCAGCUCCACAGUUGGCUAGCUCUGGGGCCCUGGGGAGAUGUCCACCCUCUCUGUGCUUUAAUUUCUUCACCUGUGAGGUGGGGAUGGUAGCACCUCCCUCAUGGGGUGGCUAUGGCUGUGAAAUGAGGUAACGUCUCGGUGUUAGGCAGCUUCCAAAACGGCUCUCCAAGAUCCCCUGCCUCCUGGCCUUCAUAGCCUUGUGGAACCCCUGGCCCUGUGUGUGGGCUGGACUCACUGCCUGCUUCCACCCAAGAGAACAGGGCACAGCUGAUGGGGGUUACUUCUGAGACUAGGUGAUCAAGACUGGGGCUUGCUGGGUCCCUCUGUCUCUGACUCUUUCCUCUGCUCUCUCCUGCUCACUUGCUCACCCUAAUACUAUAUCAAGAGCUGCCCUAGAAAGAGGCCCCGUGGCAAAGAACCAAAGGCACCCAGCAACACGAGUGAGGGUGGAAGUGGCUCUUUCCCCAUUCCAGCCUCGCGGUGACCGCAGCCCUGGCUGACACCUUGCUUGCAGCCUGGUGAGAGACAGCAGCCCGAGGACCCUGCUAAGCUGCACCCAGGCUCCUGACCCAUGGAAACUGUGAGAUGAUAAACAUGUACUGCUUAAGCUGAGAUUCGGGCUAAUUUGUUACACAGUCAUAGACAUCGUUUUUUGUUGUUGUUGUUUUUUGAGAUGGAGUCUCACUCUGUCGCCCAGGCUGGAGUGCAGUGGCACAAUCUCAGCUCACUGCAACAUCCACCUCCCAGGUUCAAGCGAUUCUCGUGCCUCAGCCUCCCAAGUAGCUGGGAUUACAGGCAUCUGCCACCAUGCCCGGCUAAUUUUUUUGUAUCUUUAGGAGAGACAGGGUUUCACCAUGUUGGCCAGCUGGUCUCAAACUCCUGAGCUCAAGAGAUCUGCCCACCUUGGCCUCCCAAAGUGCUGGGAUUACAGGCAUGAGCCACUGUGCCCGGCCUGUUACACAGUCAUAGACAUCUAUAAAAUACUCAACACGGUGCCGGCGCAUGGCAAGCAUCAGUUACUGACCACGGUGACCCUUCUGUGUACACCAGGGGAACUCAAAAUACUCAGGAAAUCUAAGCAUAUAAGCCUAGUCACCAGGCUGUCGACAUGACCCUUAACAAUGAACCUGUGUCUUUUGCCACCUCAUGAUGUCAUAGAAGAAGAGCAGCAUCAAUGUUAAGAGUCUGGAGGAGGGACUAGAUGCUGUGGCUCACACCUGUAAUCCCAGCACUUUGGGAGGCCGAGGCAGGUGGAUCACCUGAGGUCAGGAGUUCGAGACCAGCCUGGCCAACAUGGUGAAACUUUGUGUUUACUAAAAAAUACAAAAAAUUAGCCAGGCAUAGUGGCAUGCACCUGUAAUCCCAGCUACUCUGGAGGCUGAGGCAGGAGAAUCUCUUGAACCUAAAAUCUAAAAAAUAAGACCACGCCAAGGAAAAAAAUCAGUAACAGUAUAGAGGGGAUGGAAGCAGACCUCUUUAAUACACCUUGUUCUUCAGUUUUGACUUUGCCAUCAUGUAAAUGCUUUAUUUAGUUCUAAAUCAAAUUUAAAUUGAAAAAAAAAAAUUCCCAGGCCAGGGCGGCGGCUCAUGCCUGCGAUCCCAGCACUUUGGGAGGCUGAGGUGGGCAGGUCAACUAAGCCCAAGAAUUUGAGACCAGCCUGGGCAAUAUGACAAAACCCCAUCUCUACAAAAAAUACAAAAUUAGCCAGAUGUGGUGGUGCAGGUGCUUGGAGGCUGCUUGGGAGGCUGAGGUGGGAGGAUGACCUGGGCCUGAGAGGUGGAGUUUGCAGUGAGUCGAGAUUGCACCACUGCACUCCAGCCUGGGUGACAGAGUGAGGCCCUGUCUCAAAAAAGAAAAAAAAAAAAGUAUUUCCUAGUUGAUUUUUGUUCAACUUCAAUUAAUCAUAAUCUACCUUCUUUUUUUUGUUUUUGAGACAAGAGUCUCGCUCUGUUGCCCAGGAUGGAGUGCAAUGGUGUGAACUGCAACCUCUGUCUCCUGGGUUCAAGCAAUUCACCUGCCUCAGCCUCUUGAGUAGUUGGGAUUACAGGUGUCCACCACCACACCUGGCUAAAUUUUGUACUUUUAGUAGAGAUGGAGUUUCACCAUGUUGGUCAGGCUGGUCUCAAACUCCUGACCUCAUGAUCCACCCACUUCGGGCUCCCAAAAUGCUGGGAUUACAGGCGUGAGCCACCGUGCCCUGCCAAUCACAAUCUACCUUUAAGUGAUAAUAUGCUACCUUUUUUUUUUUUUUUUUAGACAGUCUCGCUCUGUCCCUCAGGCUGGAGUGCAGUGGCGCAAUCUUGGCUCACUGCAAGCUCUGCCUCCCGGGUUCACGCCAUUCUCCUGUCUCAGUCUCCCAAGUAGCUGGGACUACAGGUGCCUGCCACCAUGCCCGGCUAAUUUUUUGUAUUUUUAGUAGAGACAGGGUUUCACCGUGUUCGCCAGGAUGGUCUCUAUCUCCUGACCUUGUGAUCCGCCUGCCUCAGCCUCCCAAAGUGCUGGAAUUACAGGCAUGAGCCACCAUGCCCAGCCAAUAUACUACUUAAUAUAAAGCAUAAGAACAUUGGCCAGGUGCGGUGGCUUAUGCCUGUAAUCCCAGCACUUUGGGAGGCUGAGGAGGGUAGAUUGCUUGAGCCCACAAGUUUGAGACCAGUGACACCCCAUCUCUACAAAAAAAUGUAAAAAAUUAGCUGGGUAUGGUAGUACAUGCCUGUAGUCUCAGCUACUUGGGAUCGCUUGAGCCCAGGAAGUCAAGGCUGCAGUGAGCCAUGAUUGUGCCACUGCACUCCAACCUGGGCAACAGAGCAAGACCCUAUCCCCACUCCCCACCCUCCCAAAAAAAAGAACCUAAAAGUAGUGUAUUUCUGAUUCUCCACAUACACACUCCAUCUAUUUAAGAAACUACAAUAAAUACAAUGAGUUCAGGCUGGAUGCGGUGGCUCAUGACUGUAAUCCCAGCACCUUGGGAGGCAGAGGUUGGUGGAUCGCUCCACUGUACUCCAGCCUGGGUGACAGAGCGAGACUCUGUCUCAAAAUAAAUAAAUGAAUAAUAAAAUAAAAAGUAAAUGGUCUAGGCCUGGCCAACAUGGUGAAACCCUAUCUCUACAAAAAAUACAAUAUUUAGCCGGGUGUGGUGGUGUGCACCUGUAGUCCCAGCUACUGCGGAGGCUGAGGCAGGAGGAUCACUUGAGCCCAGGAAGUGAAGGCUGCAGUGAGCCACAAUUGCGCACCACUACACUCCAGCCUGGGUGACAGAGUGAGACCCUUUCUAAAAAAAAAAAAAAAAGGAAAGAAAAGAAAAUGUCCAAAUUUAAAGGCAGAGAUUGUCAGAUUGGAUUAAAAAAAGAUUCAGUAUCCUAUUUAUAAGAAACACACUUCAAAUAUAAAGACACAAAUAGGUUAAAAGUAGAAGGAUGGAAAAAGACAUACCUACCAUGCUAUCACAAAUCCAAAAAAAGCUAGCGUGGCUUAUCAAUAUCAGACCAAGUAGAUUGUAUAGCAGAAGACAUUACCAGGGAUAAAGAGGUUAAUUCAAUAAUGAUUAAGGGGUCAGUUAUUCCAGAGGACAUAACAAUUCUAAACGUUUAUGUACCUAAUAACAGAGCUUCAAAACACUUGAAGCAAAAACUUAUAGAACAGCAAAGAGAAAUGGAAAAGUUGACAAUCAUAGUUGAAGAUGUCAAUACCCUGCUUUCAAUAAUUGAUAGAAUUGAUAGAAUAGCUGGGUAUAGCCGUGUAUCACCUGUAGUCCCAGCUACUCAGGAGGCUGUGGCAGGAGAAGCACUUUAGCCCAGGACUUGAGUCUAGUCUGGACAACAUAGUGAGAUCCCACCUCUGAAUAAAUACAUAGAAAUUGAUAGAAUGAAUAGACAGAAAACCAGCAAAUAUAUAGAAGAUUUGAACAACAUUAUCAACCAACUCGAUCCAAUGGACAUUUAUAAAACACUUUACCCAACAACAGCAGAAUACACAUUCCUCUCAAGUUCACACAGAAUAUUUACCAACAUAGACAAUAUUCUGAGACAUUAAACAAGUCUCAGUACAUUUAAAGGGACUCAAGUCAUUCAAAGUAUGCUCUCUUACAAUGGAAUUAAAUUAGAAAUUGGUAACAGAAAGAGCUCUGAAAAUGCCCAAAUAACUUGAAAACGAAAUAACACACUUCUAAAUAAUCCACGGGUCAAAAAAGAAGUCAAAAGAGAAGUCAGAAAGUAUUUUGAACUGACUGAAAAGGAAAACCCAACAUAUCAAGUUGUGUGGUAUUAUUAGCUGUACGUUUCUUUGUAGAUGCUAUUUAUCAGGUUGAAGAAGUUCUCUAUUCUCAGUUUGCUGGGAAUUUUUUUUUUUGUUUUUUGUUUUUUGAAACUGAUUCUGGCUCUGUCACUCAGGCUGGAGUGCAGUGGCGUGAUCUCGGCUCACUGCAAGCUCUGCCUCCUGGGUUCACACCAUUCUCCUGCCUCAGCCUCCCGAAUAGCUGGGACUACAGGCGCCCGCCACCACGCCCGGCUAAUUUUUUGUAUUUUUAGUAGAGACGGGGUUUCACUGUGUUAGCCAGGAUUGUCUCGAUUUCCUGACCUCGUGAUCUGCCCGCCUCGGCCUCCCAAAGUGCUGGGAUUACAGGCAUGAGCCACCACGCCCGGCCAUUUUUUUUUUUUUUAAUUAUGAAUGGGUGUUGGAUUUUUGUCAAAAGCUUUUCUUGCAUCAAUUGAUAUGAUCCUAUGAUUUUCUUCUUUAUCCUGUUGGUAUGCUAAAUUGCAUUAAUUUUUUUGUGUUUUUGUUUUAUGAGACUGAGUCUCACUCUGUAGUCCAAGCUGAAGUGCAGUGGCAUGCAGUGGUCAGCUCACUGCGACCUCCGCCUCCGGGGCUCGGGCUUAAGCUAUUCUCGUGCCUCAGCCUCCCGAGAAGCUGGGACUACAGGCGCAUGUCACAUGCCACCAUGCCCAGCUAAUUGUUUGUAUUUUAGUAGAGAUGGGGUUUCACCAUGUUGCCCAGAGUGGUCUCGAACUCCUGAUCUCAGGCCAUCCACCUGCCUCGGCCUCCCAAAAUGCUGAGAUUACAGGUGUGAGCCACUGUGCCCUGCCUAAUUAAUUUUUGAAUAUUGAGUCAGCUUUGCACACUGCCAAUGCAAUCAAGAUGUAGUUAUUCUUAGGCUGGGCAUGGUGGCUCACACCUGUAAUCCCAGGACUUUGGGAGGCCGAGGAAGGUGGAUCACUGGAGGUCAGGAGUUCAAAACCAGCCUGGCCAACAUGGUGAAACCCCGUCUCUACUAAAAAUACAAAAAACUAAUCAGGCAUUGUGGCGUGUGUCUGCUACUCAGGAGGCUGAGGCAGAAGAAUGGCUUGAACCCGGGAGGCGGGAGGUUGCAGUGAGCCAAGAUCACGCCACUGCACUCCAGCCUGGGCAACAGAGCAAGACUCUGUCUCAAAAAAAAAAAAGUAGUAGUUAUUCUUUCUCUACCCCCUCUCCCUUCCCACUGACUGAGGCAGGCAAUGAUGAUGAAGCCUUAGGCAGAGGAGAUGGAAGGUGAUGUGCUCCGGAAUCACUGUAUGGGGGAAAACCCCCUCAUCAACCACAAACACUCACACUGGUCAGUCAUGUGAGUGAGAAACACAUGUCUUUUGGGUUAAGACGUUAAUAUUUGGGGAUUUAUAUUAGGGGAUUUAUUUAUUACAACAGCUAGCGUUUCCUUGCUGUUAACCUCAAAAAUCAUCAGUGUAUCUCGAAAGACACAUUCUUCUUCUUCUUCUCUUUUUAAUUGAGAUGGAGUCUCGCUCUGUUGCCCAAGCUGGAGUGCAGUGAUGCAAUCUUGGCUCACUGCAACCUCUGCUGGCCAGGUUCAAGCAAUUCUCCUGCCUCAGCGUCCAGAGUAGCUGGUAUUACAGGUGCCCAUCACCACGCCCAGCUAAUUUUUGUAUUUUUAGUAGAGACAGAGGUUCGCCAUGUUGGCCAGGCUGGUCUCGAACUCCUGACCUCAGGUGAUCCACCUGCCUUGGCCUCCCAAAGUGCUGGGAUGACAGGUUGGAGCCUCUGCGCCCAGCCCAAUUCUUGAGUAUUAAAUGCUUAACUGCCUUGUUAUACCUCCUGUACUAAGAACACUAAAAAUGUAGAGCAUUUUAGACAAGAAACCUAAUUAAAAAAAAAAAAAAAAAACCCAGUUCAAAAGCAUUUGGGAGUGAUUCAGAAAACCACAGCCCCGGAGCUAUAGUCUCUGAAGAUGCGGGGCCUGGACCUCUCUGCAUUCCCCCAUUGGUGUCUGCUGAAGACUAGCGUCUGCAGAAAUCCCAGUCUGUACACAGGCUGAGACUAUUCCUUUUCCCUACAUCCUGGUGAUGGGCACACACACACCUCAAGGGAGGCGUCGAUGCUCUCAGGCACUGAACUUGUUCCCGUGUCUUUAUGUUUCAUGAUCGUAUAUGAGAGAGGGAGCGUGGCCUGGAACUGUACACAAAAUGUGACCGAAAACAGCCUCUCGCUGUUUCCAAUUAAACAACCUGCUCGAGCCUUUGGUUUCUCUCCAUCACUUCCUGUCUCAAUCUCACUGACGUCUUCUUUUUUAGCAAAAUGCAUUUGUAUUUCAAGCAGAAGAUCAAUGGUUACAUUUUAAAACGCUAAAUAUCUUUUCUGCCAGGCCGAAUGGGGGUGUUUCUCCCAUCCUUCUCUGCACGUCUUCUCAUCUUAAAGCGAUGGAAUUGAGUUCUGUGAAAUCCGAUCUGGUGUUUAAGCUCUGAUUUAUAACAAAUUACCUAUGUGGCACUCAAGAAAGAACUUGUAUGUCAGAUAACACUGGAGUUUGAUUUCACCACCCUGCCCCCAAACCCGUUUAUUCAUUCAUGGCGGGGAGAGAUCCAGAGGGCCGGAGCAAUUUCAUCAACCCUGGAAUUCGCGCAUGGAGCCUCCUCUCCCCAGACCAUCCUGCUACCAUGAAUAGACAGCACGUGGCCGCCUUUUAUGAUAAGGUCAGAGGAAAGGAGUGCAUAGAGAGAGGCCGUUUGGAGAGUCGGAGCUGUAAGUUUCAGGUAUAAAACCUGAAUAGUACCAGUCCUCUUGCCUGGGGCCAGAUCAGACAGGAGGGAGGAGGUGGAAGGCAACUGUUCCACCUCCCGAGGUGAUUCCUUUGGACGCCUGAAUCCUUUGGAUUCCCUGGCUCCCAGCAGCGGACUCUGCCCUCAGCCAUCUUUAUCACUCCUGAUUAGGGCUGCAGACGCCUCCCUCCCCACCCUGCCUUGCCAGGCUUUGUGGCUCCCCGGGCUCGUUUUCUGAUAGAGCUGUCAGUUUUUACUACUGAUAGGAGAAAUCAUUUUCUUUCUUAGCUGAAUGUUAAUUGGCUCCCCUCCCCCAUUCACUUAGUAUAUCCCGUCCCCUAUUUUUUUUUUUUACCCCAAGGAAAAGGUACCUUAGUAGAGACACAUUUCGGAAAGACAAAGAAGGUGUUUCUUGCUAAAUUGCUAAUUGGUAACUGAAAUCAGAGGUUAAGAAAAAGCUAAAGAGGAGAGCGAGGAAGGAAUUAGGACCACAUGUUUCUGUAG
rnacentral:lncRNA from 1 species